AAGGUUAAAACUCAAAUGAAUUGACGGGGGCCCGCACAAGCGGUGGAGCAUGUGGUUUAAUUCGAUGCAACGCGAAGAACCUUACCUGGUCUUGACAUCCACAGAACUUUCCAGAGAUGGAUUGGUGCCUUCGGGAACUGUGAGACAGGUGCUGCAUGGCUGUCGUCAGCUCGUGUUGUGAAAUGUUGGGUUAAGUCCCGCAACGAGCGCAACCCUUAUCCUUUGUUGCCAGCGGUCCGGC
rnacentral:rRNA from 1 species